rnacentral:tRNA from 1 species
UCCCCGUUGGUCUAAUCAGGCAAGACACCGGACUCUGGUUCCGGGAAUCUAGGUUCAAAUCCUGGAUGGGGAG